rnacentral:rRNA from 1 species
UGCUUAACACAUGCAAGUCGAACGGCAGCGCGGGGCAACCUGGCGGCGAGUGGCGAACGGGUGAGUAAUAUAUCGGAACGUACCCUGGAGUGGGGGAUAACGUAGCGAAAGUUACGCUAAUACCGCAUACGAUCUAAGGAUGAAAGUGGGGGCUCGCAAGACCUCAUGCUCCUGGAGCGGCCGAUAUCUGAUUAGCUAGUUGGUGGGGUAACGGCCCACCAAGGCGACGAUCAGUAUCCGGCCUGAGAGGGCGGACGGACACACUGGGACUGAGACACGGCCCAGACUCCUACGGGAGGCAGCAGUGGGGAAUUGUUCGCAAUGGGCGCAAGCCUGACGACGCAACGCCGCGUGGAGGAUGAAGGUCUUCGGAUUGUAAACUCCUGUUGCCCGGGACGAAAAGCUUCGACCUAACACGUCGAAGUCUGACGGUACCGGGUGAGGAAGCCCCGGCUAACUCUGUGCCAGCAGCCGCGGUAAUACAGAGGGGGCAAGCGUUGUUCGGAAUUACUGGGCGUAAAGGGCGCGUAGGCGGCCCGCUAAGUCGAACGUGAAAUCCCCGGGCUCAACCCGGGAACUGCGUCCGAUACUGGCAGGCUUGAAUCCGGGAGAGGGAUGCGGAAUUCCAGGUGUAGCGGUGAAAUGCGUAGAUAUCUGGAGGAACACCGGUGGCGAAGGCGGCAUCCUGGACCGGUAUUGACGCUGA